ensembl:snoRNA
GCACCAAAUCUUUCCCAUUCCUUACUGUGCAGUGUGGGCCUGGGGACACAUGGUGCUUACAGAAAAGCAGAGUAAAUCCAGACAGGUGACUUCUCAUUCACCGAGUACCUGUCUCUACACCUCUGCAACAGUU